GCUCCCUUAGUUCAACUGGAUAGAGCAUCGGCCUUCUAAGCCGAGAGUUGUAGGUUCGAAUCCUACAGGGAGUACCA
rnacentral:tRNA from 1 species